rnacentral:miRNA from 1 species
AGGGAUUACCUGGGUGUGUCUAAGGUGUUUAUUUUCUUUUUAUAAACACCUUAGACACACCCAGGUAAUCACUAA